UACGUAGGGUGCGAGCGUUAAUCGGAAUUACUGGGCGUAAAGCGUGCGCAGGCGGUUUUGUAAGCCAGAUGUGAAAUCCCCGGGCUUAACCUGGGAAUGGCAUUUGGGACUGCAAGGCUCGAGUGCGGCAGAGGAGACUGGAAUUCCUAGUGUAGCAGUGAAAUGCGUAGAUAUCAGGAGGAACACCGAUGGCGAAGGCAGGUCUCUGGGCUGACACUGACGCUCAUGCACGAAAGCGUGGGGAGCAAACAGG
rnacentral:rRNA from 1 species